CAUUACAGAGUUCAUGCCCUCACGGGUAGACCUCCCACCCUUGUGUAUUAUUACUAUGUUGCUUUGGCGGGCCGUCAGGCUUCGGUCAGGCCCCCGGCUCAGGCUGGGAAGCGCCCGCCAGAGGACCCCAAAACUCUGAAUUAUAAUAUCGUCUGAGUACUAUAAAAUAGUUAAAACUUUCAACAACGGAUCUCUUGGUUCUGGCAUCGAUGAAGAACGCAGCGAAAUGCGAUAAGUAAUGUGAAUUGCAGAAUUCAGUGAAUCAUCGAAUCUUUGAACGCACAUUGCGCCCCUUGGUAUUCCGGGGGGCAUGCCUGUUCGAGCGUCAUUUCAACCCUCAAGCACAGCUUGGUAUUGGGCCCUGCCAGCGAUGGCAGGCCCUAAAAUCAGUGGCGGCGCCGCUGGGCCCUGAGCGUAGUAAUUCUCUCGCUACAGGGUCCCCGCGGGCUCCCGCCAGAACCCCCAAUUUUCUAUGGUUGACCUCGGAUCAGGUAGGGAUACCC
rnacentral:rRNA from 1 species